AAAUUAGAGUGUUCAAAGCAGGCUCGACGCCGGAAUAUAUUAGCAUGGAAUAAUAAAAUAGGACGUGCGGUUCUAUUUUGUUGGUUUUUGGAAUCGCCGUAAUGAUUAAUAGGGACAGUCGGGGGCAUUAGUACUCACAUGCUAGAGGUGAAAUUCUUGGAUUUUGUGAAGACUAACUUCUGCGAAAGCAUUUGCCAAGGAUGUUUUCAUUAAUCAAGAACGAAGGUUAGGGGAUCGAAAACGAUUAGAUACCGUUGUAGUCUUAACAGUAAACUAUGCCGACUAGGGAUCGGGUGUUGUUCUUUUUU
rnacentral:rRNA from 1 species